AACGAACGCUGGCGGCAGGCUUAACACAUGCAAGUCGAGCGCCCCGCAAGGGGAGCGGCAGACGGGUGAGUAACGCGUGGGAAUCUACCCAUCUCUACGGAAUAACGCAUGGAAACGUGUGCUAAUACCGUAUACGUCCUUCGGGAGAAAGAUUUAUCGGAGAUGGAUGAGCCCGCGUUGGAUUAGCUAGUUGGUGGGGUGAAGGCCUACCAAGGCGACGAUCCAUAGCUGGUCUGAGAGGAUGAUCAGCCACACUGGGACUGAGACACGGCCCAGACUCCUACGGGAGGCAGCAGUGGGGAAUAUUGGACAAUGGGCGCAAGCCUGAUCCAGCCAUGCCGCGUGAGUGAUGAAGGCCCUAGGGCUGUAAAGCUCUUUCACCGGUGAAGAUAAUGACGGUAACCGGAGAAGAAGCCCCGGCUAACUUCGUGCCAGCCGCCGCUGUAAUAC
rnacentral:rRNA from 1 species